CGAAAUAAUCUAGGAAAAAUUAUUCUCUUCUACCUUUCACUUAGAUGUCGGCAAGCAAAAGUAGUGUUACAAAAGGGAAAACAGAACUCUACCAUUCAAUAGUCAUUCAAAAUACAAGGCAAACGCCAAUCGAACAUGAUAACAUUCUACUUCUUCAUUAUUAUUUCUUCAAUGACCUAAAAACGGUAAUCACCUAGUGAGUAAUCAAUGCCGAUAAGUCGUCGGCGUCAUAAACAUGUAAAAGACAAACGCAAAGGUUGGAGAUAAAAAGUUCAGCNCCUGAAUUUCCCGGCGAAUGUCGGAGAAACCGUGAAAUUUUCUGCCAGGGAGAUGGAGCAACUCUCAAGUUCACUGUCGGUAGCGCUUGGAGUCGUCGCAGGUGUAGACAGUGCCAACGCAACGCCUCCUUCUUCGACCCGCAAUGGUCGCUGUAACUUCGUCGAGUUCGCUCCACCACCGCUACACCUGUCGCCCAAAUCGCGAAUUCCACCACCGGAAAUAGCCACGAGCCACCACCAUUGCGUGAUUUCGCUAUCCCCCACUAGCUUUGCCUCUUCGAUCGAAGGGAUGAGAAAUUAGGGAAGAGAACACUCGAAGAUAAGAGAGAUGAUGCAGAGAGACUGUAAAGAAAGGAAAGAAAAAUUAGGGGUUUGCACAAAUGAACGUAAAUAAAACUUCGG
rnacentral:lncRNA from 1 species